AGUGAACGCUGGCGGUAGGCCUAACACAUGCAAGUCGAACGGCAGCACAGUAAGAGCUUGCUCUUACGGGUGGCGAGUGGCGGACGGGUGAGGAAUACAUCGGAAUCUACUUUUUCGUGGGGGAUAACGUAGGGAAACUUACGCUAAUACCGCAUACGACCUACGGGUGAAAGCAUGGGAUCUUCGGACCUUGCGCGAUAGAAUGAGCCGAUGUCGGAUUAGCUAGUUGGCGGGGUAAAGGCCCACCAAGGCGACGAUCCGUAGCUGGUCUGAGAGGAUGAUCAGCCACACUGGAACUGAGACACGGUCCAGACUCCUACGGGAGGCAGCAGUGGGGAAUAUUGGACGAUGGGCGCAAGCCUGAUCCAGCCAAACCGCGUGGGUGGAGAAGGCCUUCGGGUUGUAAAGCCCUUUUGUUGGGAAAGAAAAGCAGCAGGUUAAUACCCCGCUGUUCUGACGGUACCCAAAGAAUAAGCACCGGCUAACUUCGUG
rnacentral:rRNA from 1 species